rnacentral:rRNA from 1 species
UACGGAGGGUGCAAGCGUUAAUCGGAAUUACUGGGCGUAAAGCGCGCGUAGGCGGUUUGGUAAGUCAGAUGUGAAAGCCCCGGGCUCAACCUGGGAACUGCAUUCGAUACUGCCAGACUAGAGUAUGUUAGAGGAGAGUGGAAUUCCGGGUGUAGCGGUGAAAUGCGUAGAUAUCCGGAGGAACAUCAGUGGCGAAGGCGACUCUCUGGGACAAUACUGACGCUGAGGUGCGAAAGCGUGGGGAGCAAACAGG